UUUAAUAACAUUAAAUUAAAGGCGGUUUGUUAUUAAAAAAUAUAAUGCUAGAUUUUGAGGUUGCCGUUACCGAUCCCAAUUAUUCGAGUUUUAUCGCAGACGAUCCUUCGCUACAUUUCGAAGAUCUUCCAGAAAUUUUAGAAGUUACAAACACCAUAAAUGAGACAGAUAAAGGGCCAUACCUAGAACUAAUUGUUCAACCUUCUACAAAAUUUCGGUACCGAUAUGAGUCAGAAGGUGCUACGAUCCACCGCCUUCUACAUUCACAAAAUGGCGCUAAAUCGUAUCCAACAGUGAAGCUGUUCAAUUACGGUAAACCAGCGUUUAUAAGGUGUUUGGCGUGUAGGACAGAAGAUGAACAGUAUAAAAUACACUGUCAUUCCUUCAAGAUGAAAAAUGUCGAUGAUAUACGCGACCCAGUUUAUCUAUCUGCCACUGAAGAGAAUAACUUCACUGUCUCAUUCCAAGGUAGUCUAAUUUUUACUAAAAAACGCGAUGCCAACGAAACAUUAAAUAAAAAACUCCAGAGGAUUAGAGCAAUCCAUAGAAAUGGCCACGACCUUUCGACUUUUGAGGAAGUCAGUUUUCAAAUUGACGAUUUUAAAAACAUAAAUAUUAACAAAGUCGUGCUAAGAUUCGACGCCUAUGAAUAUUUGAAUGGACAAAUGAUUCAAAUUUGCAAACCCGUGUACAGCCAGCCCAUACUUAAUCAAAAAGUGAAGGUCCGUUUCUUUAACGAAACCUGGGAGGACUUCGGUAUUUUUGAUGUUACCGAUAUACAUCGUCAGUUUGCCAUAGUGUUAAGGACUUCCCGAUUAAGAAGAUUUUUGACCCUUCUCCCUCUUAUGACGUACUGUAUUUUCCCCCUUUUUAUCCUCCCCAACGAUACUUAGCACACUCUAGUGUCAAAAUGUUAAUUAUAUCACGCGAAAUUUUGGAAAAUAAUAGUCUUCAUUGUUUACAUCAGACAUCACUACGAAGGAGUAGUAGGUACCACCUUGUGCUGGCUUAAACUAACACGGCUGGAAUAGAGUCCAAAAAAAAUCAGUGAAACACGUUGAAAUUAAUGCUUAAACUCAGUUCCUUUUAGAGAUAUUACCAUGUGAGCGUUUACAGGGCAUAAAGCAAUUUCUGGGGCAACGGCUUAACGAAGGGGGACGUGGGGAACGGUCACUCAUUUUCUGGACACCACGGUAUGUAGAUGUCAACAUAGACUCUCCGGUGAAGGUUAAGGUAGAAUUAGUACGAGGCGAUGAACGUAGUGAACCU
rnacentral:misc_RNA from 1 species